rnacentral:sRNA from 1 species
GGCCUCCCAAAGUGCUGGGAUUACAGGCGUGAGCCACCGUGCCUGGCCUGACCAGGCUGUCUUGAACUCCUGACCUCAAGUGAUCUGUCCGCCUCGGCCUCCCAAAGUGUUGGGAUUACAGAUGACUUGGCAGAUGAACUUGCUCUUGUUGAUGUCAUCGAAGACAAAUUGAAGGGAGAGAUGAUGGAUCUCCAACAUGGCAGCCUUUUCCUUAGAACACCAAAGAUUGUCUCUGGCAAAGACUAUAAUGUAACUGCAAACUCCAAGCUGGUCAUUAUCACGGCUGGGGCACGUCAGCAAGAAGGAGAAAGCCGUCUUAAUUUGGUCCAGCGUAACGUGAACAUCUUUAAAUUCAUCAUUCCUAAUGUUGUGAAAUACAGCCCGAACUGCAAGUUGCUUAUUGUUUCAAAUCCAGUGGAUAUCUUGACCUACGUGGCUUGGAAGAUAAGUGGUUUUCCCAAAAACCGUGUUAUUGGAAGUGGCUGCAAUCUGGAUUCAGCCCGAUUCCGUUACCUGAUGGGGGAAAGGCUGGGAGUUCACCCAUUAAGCUGUCAUGGGUGGGUCCUUGGAGAACAUGGAGAUUCCAGUGUGCCUGUAUGGAGUGGAAUGAAUGUUGCUGGUGUCUCUCUGAAGACUCUGCACCCAGAUUUAGGGACUGAUAAAGAUAAGGAACAGUGGAA